CUGGAACUCCCUUCCUCGAUUCCUGGUGCUGGCUGCCUCCGGGCCUGCUUGCUAUUCUGGUGCCCAGAGUCUCACGCAGCUCUGCCAGCUGAAGCUGUGGGGAACUAUGGCAGCAGGGAUGAGGAAACUGAAGCCCAGAGAAGUAUUUUUACAUCCAUAGCUGAAGUAGAAGUUCCAGGUGAAGCGCCAUACACAUUUGGGAGGCUCCUGAUGUGGAGGACACAGUGGCCGGGAUCACCCUUCUGAAACGUCAGCAUGGCCUCAGGAACCACGUCCUGACUGUCUGGGAGUCUCUCACUCUUAUUCCCAGGGGGACCAAGAUGGGGAAACCAAGGGAAGAGAAGACCAGGUGAAGACAUGAGAAAGACAAGCAAGAGAUAAGGAUCAGCCACCACUCCUUUUACUCCUAAGGAAAUGGAGGCCCACGAAAGAUGAGAGCUACAUGACUAAUGAGUGGUAGAGCAUGGAUUCUGGCCCGGGUCUGCGGGGCUCCCAGCCCAUGCCAGUGUGAACAGAAGGAAUUCCUCUGGAAAGGCAAUUGCAUAUCAGUCCCAGCUCUUCCUGGGGCAGAAAGCUGACACCUGCACUUAGAGAAGGAAGCCAUCCUGUGGGCAGAGGGCCGAGCAUUUCCCCUAAAGCCAUCUCCCUCUUCUUUCAAGCCAGGCUUAAAUAUCCAAACCGCAAAGGAAGAUGAAAGAAGCUUGUUGAUGAAGUCCUCCACCCUGGGAAGAGGAAGAUAAAAAAAAGAGAAAGAAAGGGAAGACAAGAGUGGGG
ensembl:lncRNA